GCACUUCAGCUCUGAAGUACAGUUAGCAACAUACAUACAGAAAGAGAGACAGCACUUCCUUUGAUCUGUCUUUCAAUUGAUGAAAUCUUUUCAAAGAAUCAUAGAAUCACAGACUAUCCUGAGAUGCAAAGGACCCACAAGAAGGGUACUGAGUAUCGUGUAUCACGCAUGCUGCAACAUCUGACCCACAGAUCACAUCUAACAUCAGGAGUCCUCAAAAUAAGGACUGCUGGAGGGGAAGCUAAGGAAGAAAACCAGAAGCCUAAAGCCGACCAUGGGAAUGAUCAGAAUUCAUCUUGCAGAAGAGUCUAAGAGUUACGGACAUCACUUUCAUGUUAUCUCUUGACUGCCCCCUGAGACAAGCCCCUGUGAUCAUGUGCAUGAGCUUCAAAGGGUUGGACUGCACAGAGGACAACAACACCAGGUUUGAAGUGUCCGGAUUUUUUUGGAGCUCCCAUGCCUUGCUGCGAGAACAGAGACCACCUUGAUUCCCAGACAGCAUUUACUCCCAGAGUAACUCCCAGUGGAGACACUUCACCUGCUUCAUUUGUUGCAGAAAACAACAGCACUAAAGAACAAGGGCUAAGGCAAGUGUAUAACAAUAACUACUAAAAAGUUCUUCCAUUAUUUGUCUGGAAUCAUUCUUUAAACCCUGGAGUCUCAGAGCACCGCAUUUCCAGAUCUCAGUUGUAACAGAUGAUCACAUGAUGUUUUAAAAAGGAAACAUUUAAUGUAAAUCUCAUCUGGAUUUAAAAAGAGUGUGUUCUGAUUCUGAGGCCAAGUAUACAAAUAGCAAUAUUUUGGAUCUGGAACUUAAAUUACACUAAAGCUUUCCCAAUAUUAUUACAAAUCUUCCCUUCCCUUCCCUUCCCUUCCCUUCCCUUCCCUUCCCUUCCCUUCCCUUCCCUUCC